UUUAUAAUAUAUUAAAAUCUUGAACAAUAUUUUUUAUUGACUUUAAUUUAAAAGAUGAAUAUUCUAUCUUUAUAACACUUUGAAAGGAAGAAUAGAUUGUUUUAUAAUUAGAUAAUGGGGGACAAAUAUAAUCUAUGUUCACUCUUAAAGGUAGGGGGAUUUACUAAUUUAAACUCUCAUAUUUUAAUGUUUAGACUUUUGUUUUUGGUAAAUCAAAACUAUCCUUACAACCAUGGCUUUUUUCCUACAGUUUGAAUAUUAAGAAACUUAAAUCAUAGUCCCCUGAUUCUGGUUACAUAAUCAUCAUUAGCCUAUAGUAUCUGAUUCUUUGAUUAUUUAUUAUAUGAGCUACACUUUUGUAGUUUGGACACCUCAAUAAAAGUAACUGGUAAAACAAAUAAAGAGAAUAUUCAUAUUAAAAUCAGUAGCAUUAAAGAAAGUAUUAGUAUUUUUAACUUUAUAGUGACCGUUGCUGACAAUAGAGCCCCUUUUUUUCUCCUAUUAAAAGAUCUGCUUUUAGGAAUAGGUAUCAAGAAUGAGGCCUCAGUUUCUUUAAAAUCUCUUAAGAUCUUUUGAGGCUCUAAGGAUCUGUGAUUCUUGAUUUUCUGUUAAUUCAAAUACCUCAUCAUCUCUUCAGAUAACGUAUCUUAAAACCAUAGGUGCAACAUUUCGGCUUGAUUCUUUUUUGCCUAUAUUCAACAUAUUGUUUUUAGAUGUGUAGAUUUUUGGUUUCACUUUUUAUUUUUUUAUGUUACUUCUGUCUUCUUGACAUGGAGAGGGCUUUUCAAGGCUGACUUGAAGCUUGCCUAAAAUAGUUCAGUAUCACUAAGGUUAAUUUGAUAAUUUCUCAAGGAUCUUUAUGAGAAAUCUGCAUUUCAGUUGGCUUAAGAUAAUUUAAUUCUGUAAGUUAACUUACUUUAGUUAAUAUUGCUAAUACAUUAGCAAAAUUUGCUUGCCUAAAUAACCUCACCAUCUACUGUAAACUAAAAGGAUUGGGGCAGAGGACUACUUUGUGUUUCAUUUAGUUUUAUAUAUUUCAGUAAACAUUUAUUGAAAACUUGAAUCAGUUGGGGUAUUUAGUAAAUGUUGAAUAGAUGAAUGAGGUACUCAUUCAGCCUAUAAAAGGUUCUUUCCUUUGCAGAGUUAACAGUCUAAUAGACGAAAACAGUAAUAUGAAAAACAUGUAUUACAGUCUUUUUGUAUAUUGCCCAGUUAGUCUGUGGUGAGCUAUCUGCUUGUAUGCAGAACUAGACUGCCUGUGUUUGAAUGUUAAUGUUAUCUUGAAUAAAUUACUCAAUCUCCCUGUG